rnacentral:rRNA from 1 species
AGCGGCGGACGGGUGAGUAACACGUAGGUAACCUGCCUUUAAGUCUGGGAUAACGUCCGGAAACGGGUGCUAAUACCGGAUACAUCAUUCCUCCGCAUGAGGGGACGAGGAAAGACGGAGCAAUCUGUCGCUUAUAGAUGGGCCUGCGGCGCAUUAGCUAGUUGGUGGGGUAACGGCUCACCAAGGCGACGAUGCGUAGCCGACCUGAGAGGGUGAACGGCCACACUGGGACUGAGACACGGCCCAGACUCC